rnacentral:rRNA from 1 species
AACGAACGCUGGCGGCAUGCCUAGCACAUGCAAGUCGAACGAGACCUUCGGGUCUAGUGGCGCACGGGUGCGUAACGCGUGGGAACCUGCCCUUAGGUUCGGAAUAACUCCCCGAAAGGGGUGCUAAUACCGGAUAAUGUCUUCGGACCAAAGAUUUAUCGCCUUUGGAUGGGCCCGCGUUGGAUUAGCUAGUUGGUAGGGUAAAAGCCUACCAAGGCGACGAUCCAUAGCUGGUCUGAGAGGAUGAUCAGCCACACUGGGACUGAGACACGGCCCAGACUCCUACGGGAGGCAGCAGUGGGGAAUAUUGGACAAUGGGCGAAAGCCUGAUCCAGCAAUGCCGCGUGAGUGAUGAAGGCCUUAGGGUUGUAAAGCUCUUUUACCCGGGAUGAUAAUGACAGUACCGGGAGAAUAAGCACCGGCUAACUCCGUG